rnacentral:rRNA from 1 species
AUUGAACGCUGGCGGCAGGCCUAACACAUGCAAGUCGAGCGAGCGGCGGACGGGUGAGUAAUGUCUGGGAAACUGCCUGAUGGAGGGGGAUAACUACUGGAAACGGUAGCUAAUACCGCAUACCAUCAGAUGUGCCCAGAUGGGAUUAGCUAGUAGGUGGGGUAACGGCUCACCUAGGCGACGAUCCCUAGCUGGUCUGAGAGGAUGACCAGCCAGGCUGGAACGGAAAGACGGUCCAGGCUCCGACGGGAGGCAGCAGCAGGGAAUAUUGCACGAUGGGCGAGAGCGUGAUGACGCGAUGCCGCGUGUGUAAAGAAGGCAUUCGGGUUGUGAAGCACUUGCAGUGGGGAGGCGUUACCCGCAGAAGAAGCACCGGCUAACUCCGUUCCAGCAGCCGCGGUAAUAC